UACGGGGGGGGCAAGCGUUGUUCGGAAUUACUGGGCGUAAAGGGUUUGUAGGUGGCUUGUUAAGUCAGACGUGAAAUCCCUCAGCUUAACUGGGGAACUGCGUCUGAGACUGGUGAGCUUGAGUGCAGGAGAGGAACGCGGAAUUCCAGGUGUAGCGGUGAAAUGCGUAGAUAUCAGGAGGAACACCGGUGGUGUAAACGGCUCUCUGGACCGUAACUGACGCUGAGACACGAAAGCGUGGGUAGCAAACAGG
rnacentral:rRNA from 1 species